rnacentral:rRNA from 1 species
GGCUCAGAACGAACGCUGGCGGCAGGCUUAACACAUGCAAGUCGAGCGCCCCUUCGGGGGAGCGGCAGACGGGUGAGUAAUGCAUGGGAAUCUACCCAGCUCUACGGAAUAACUCAGGGAAACUUGAACUAAUACCGUAUGCGCCCUUCGGGGGAAAGAUUUAUCGGAGUUGGAUGAGCCCAUGUCUGAUUAGCUAGUUGGUGGGGUAAAGGCCUACCAAGGCGACGAUCAGUAGCUGGUCUGAGAGGAUGAUCAGCCACACUGGGACUGAGACACGGCCCAGACUCCUACGGGAGGCAGCAGUGGGGAAUAUUGGACAAUGGGGGCAACCCUGAUCCAGCCAUGCCGCGUGAGUGAUGAAGGCCCUAGGGUUGUAAAGCUCUUUCACCGGUGAAGAUAAUGACGGUAACCGGAGAAGAAGCCCCGGCUAACUUCGUGCCAGCAGCCGCGGUAAUACGAAGGGGGCUAGCGUUGUUCGGAAUUACUGGGCGUAAAGCGCGCGUAGGCGGAUCGGUCAGUUAGGGGUGAAAUCCCGGGGCUCAACCCCGGAACUGCCUCUAAUACUGCCGAUCUAGAGUUCGAGAGAGGUGAGUGGAAUUCCGAGUGUAGAGGUGAAAUUCGUAGAUAUUCGGAGGAACACCAGUGGCGGAAGGCGGCUCACUGGCUCGAUACUGACGCUG